rnacentral:rRNA from 1 species
UACGUAGGUGACAAGCGUUGUCCGGAUUUACUGGGCGUAAAGAGCGCGCAGGCGGUCGUCAAGUCGAGUGUGAAAGCCCCCGGCUCAACUGGGGAGGGUCAUUCGAUACUGAUCGACUCGAAGGCAGGAGAGGGAAGUGGAAUUUCCGGUGUAGUGGUGAAAUGCGUAGAUAUCGGGAGGAACACCAGUGGCGAAGGCGACUUCCUGGCCUGUUCUUGACGCUGAGGCGCGAAAGCUAGGGGAGCAAACGGG